GCGAGGGUAACUAAGCCUGGUCAACAGUGACGGACUCAAGAUCCGUUCCCGAAGGGGUUCGCGGGUUCAAAUCCCUCCCCUCGCA
rnacentral:tRNA from 1 species